GAUGAACGCUGACAGAAUGCUUAACACAUGCAAGUCAACUUGAACUUCGGUUUGGGUGGCGGACGGGUGAGUAACGCGUAAAGAACUUGCCUCACAGAUAGGGACAACAUUUGGAAACGAAUGCUAAUACCUGAUAUUAUGAUUAUAUGGCAUCGUAUAAUUAUGAAAGCUAUAUGCGCUGUGAGAGAGCUUUGCGUCCCAUUAGCUAGUUGGAGAGGUAACGGCUCACCAAGGCGAUGAUGGGUAGCCGGCCUGAGAGGGUGAUCGGCCACAAGGGGACUGAGACACGGCCCUUACUCCUACGGGAGGCAGCAGUGGGGAAUAUUGGACAAUGGACCAAGAGUCUGAUCCAGCAAUUCUGUGUGCACGAUGAAGUUUUUCGGAAUGUAAAGUGCUUUCAGUUGGGAAGAAAAAAAUGACGGUACCAACAGAAGAAGUGACGGCUAAAUACGUGC
rnacentral:rRNA from 1 species